rnacentral:rRNA from 1 species
UACGUAGGGUCCGAGCGUUGUCCGGAAUUACUGGGCGUAAAGAGCUCGUAGGUGGUUUGUCGCGUUGUUCGUGAAAGCUCCCGGCUCAACUGGGAGAGGUCCUUGCAUACUGGCGAACUCGAGGGAGGCAGAGGAAAGUGGAAUUCCCGGUGUAGUGGUGAUAUGCGUAGAUAUCGGGAGGAACACCUGUGGCGAAGGCGGCUUUCUGGGCCUUACCUGACGCUGAGACGCGAAAGCGUGGGGAGCGAACCGG